rnacentral:rRNA from 1 species
UACAGAGGUCCCAAGCGUUGUUCGGAUUCAUUGGGCGUAAAGGGUGCGUAGGCGGCGCGGUAAGUCGGGUGUGAAAUCUCGGAGCUUAACUCCGAAACUGCAUUCGAUACUGCCGUGCUUGAGGACUGGAGAGGAGACUGGAAUUUACGGUGUAGCGGUGAAAUGCAUAGAUAUCGUAAGGAAGACCAGUGGCGAAGGCGGGUCUCUGGACAGUUCCUGACGCUGAGGCACGAAGGCCAGGGGAGCAAACGGG